AAUAGAUACCCAGGUAGUCCACGCCGUAAACGAUGAGUGCUAAGUGUUAGAGGGCUUCCACCCUUUAGUGCUGCAGCUAACGCAUUAAGCACUCCGCCUGGGGAGUACGGCCGCAAGGCUGAAACUCAAAGGAAUUGACGGGGGCCCGCACAAGCGGUGGAGCAUGUGGUUUAAUUCGAAGCAACGCGAAGAACCUUACCAGGUCUUGACAUCCUUCGCUACCUCUAGAGAUAGAGGGUUCCCCUUCGGGGGACGGAGUGACGGGUGGUGCAUGGUUGUCGUCAGCUCGUGUCGUGAGAUGUUGGGUUAAGUCCCGCAACGAGCGCAACCCUUGACCUUAGUUGCCAGCAUUCAGUUGGGCACUCUAAGGUGACUGCCGGUGACAAACCGGAGGAAGGUGGGGAUGACGUCAAAUCAUCAUGCCCCUUAUGACCUGGGCUACACACGUGCUACAAUGGAUGGUACAAAGGGUCGCGAAACCGCGAGGUGGAGCUAAUCCCGAAAAAACCAUUCUCAGUUCGGAUUGCAGGCUGC
rnacentral:rRNA from 1 species